rnacentral:rRNA from 1 species
GUGCACCAGUCGAGAAUUUUUCUCAAUGGGGGAAACCCUGAGGGAGCGACGCCGCGUGGAGGAUGAAGGUCUUCGGGUUGUAAACUCCUGUCAUUUGAGAACAAGUGGCCGAACGUAACUGCUUCGGCCUUGAUAGUAUCAGAAGAGGAAGGGACGGCUAACUCUGUGCCAGCAGCCGCGGUAAUACAGAGGUCUCAAGCGUUGUUCGGAUUCAUUGGGCGUAAAGGGUGCGUAGGUGGCACCGUAAGUCGGGUGUGAAAUUUCGGAGCUUAACUCCGAAACUGCAUUCGAUACUGCGGUGCUUGAGGACUGGAGAGGAGACUGGAAUUUACGGUGUAGCAGUGAAAUGCGUAGAGAUCGUAAGGAAGACCAGUGGCGAAGGCGGGUCUCUGGACAGUUCCUGACACUGAUGCAUGAAGGCCGAGGGGAGACGAAAC